AAAUCACCCAAUCGAACAACAGACAUGGAUCUUCAAAAUCAAGCAUCCAAAAUCAGGUCCAAAACGGACUUCUCUAAUUUUCCAGAUCAAUCCAAACUGUUCUAGACAUUACUGGGCUCUUCGUCACUCUCUUCCCUUUGCUUUUUUCGAAGCUUCUCAUAUUUCACUCUGUUAUCCAUUAUGAUCAUUUGUCUGAAACCAAAACAAUAAUUAAGAUAAGUAAGCUAAGAGAAGACACGCUUGCUCUUCUUUUCUUCGGGAGGGAAAAGAAACACAGAAGAGAAAAGAAAUGUUCGGCGUUGUAUUUCCCAACCGGAGCUUCCCGAUGGACAUCUCGGCAUUCUCUCAAAUCGACACCUUUCACUGGGUCCUAGAUAUGAACACUUUUGUAGGUGAGGCGUAUGAUCAAGUCCGUGAAAUGUGCAUAUUUCUAUUAAAUAACUUCACUCUCCCACCGGAGAAAGCCCUAGCCGUCUACAUUCAGUCCCCUGGUUCACCCUUUCAAUUCUGUGGCGCCGUCACUAUAGCUCGCCCCUCCGCCGUUCUCUCCCUCAAUUGGCCGGACCCUGGCGGCCAAUUGCAACUAACAGCAACGGAUUCUGCUCCUCUUUCGGCUAAAAUAGGGGUUUCGGUCGAGGACUUAGCAUCGCUUCCGUCCUUGGAUGUGGCUGCGGAGAAAAGGAUCGAGCGGCUUGCUAUGAAAGUUGGAGAGAAUUUGUUUAAUUACAUGCAGUCUUUUUGUGGAGUUGAUGGGAGCAAGUUGAUUGUCCCUAUGGAUAUUUUGGACCGCUGGUUUAAGAAGUUUCAAGAGAGGGCUAAGCGUGACCCUGAGUAUUUGAAAGGCUUCGAUUUGUAAUCUUUAAAAUUUCAAGCUGCUCGUGACUCAAAUGGAGUAAAGGAAUAACACAUGCUCAAUGUCAAUUGCACUAGCAGAUUCAAAGAACAUAAAAUAAUUAAGAUCAAAACCUGCUGCUAUAAAUGUAUAUCAAGAAGUGAGCUAAGUCUAUAUUAGGGAGACAAUUCUAAAGCAAAGCUGGCUAUUGAUCUGGCAAAAAAAUGGACUGGAACUCGUCUGGCAAUCUGGUUUUGAGCUGGACUGUGAACUGAAACCACCAGUUCAUUGAACUGGAACAUCUGAUUCAGUGAAUUGGCCGGCUUUAUUCUGAAGCUGUCACUUGUAAAUUUAACUUAUAAAAUACUGGAACUCUACAGUUUAGUUGAAGAGAAUUGGAUUUUGUUUCCAUGAAACCAAGGUGGUGAAACAUCGAGAGAAGUCUUAUGUGAAUUUUCCGUGAAUGUGAUUCUUCACUGCUGAAUAAAGAAGGGAUCUUGAUUAAGCCUUGAACAGGAGUUGAAAUGGCAUUUGGAUGUUUGAUUAAUAAUAUUUUGAGUAGGUUAUAUUUUCUGAUUUGUUGGGAACUGGGAAAUUCCUUCUACAACAUGUCUUGUUCCCUCCUUCGAUGUGUUGCCUCUCAUUCUGGUAGGGGUAGCAUAAGCAUGUCUUCUCGGGAUGAAUUUUAUUUCAGAAAUUCUUGACUUGAUGGAAGGAGUACAUGAACGUAACGGAGAUUUUAUUAAAGGUGGCAAAUGUCGGUGGAGGUUUGAACUGUGAACCUGGACGUUGUUUCUUAUUUGUUCACAAAACUUUUAUUUUAUUAAUGAGAAAAGACCAAUAAUUU